rnacentral:rRNA from 1 species
GAUGAACGCUGGCGGCGUGCCUAAUACAUGCAAGUCGAGCGGACAGACGAGGAGCUUGCUCCUCUGACGUUAGCGGCGGACGGGUGAGUAACACGUGGAUAACCUACCUAUAAGACUGGGAUAACUUCGGGAAACCGGAGCUAAUACCGGAUAAUAUAUUGAACCGCAUGGUUCAAUAGUGAAAGACGGUUUUGCUGUCACUUAUAGAUGGAUCCGCGCCGCAUUAGCUAGUUGGUAAGGUAACGGCUUACCAAGGCAACGAUGCGUAGCCGACCUGAGAGGGUGAUCGGCCACACUGGAACUGAGACACGGUCCAGACUCCUACGGGAGGCAGCAGUAGGGAAUCUUCCGCAAAGGGCGAAAGCUUGACGGAGCAACGCCGCGUGAGUGAUGAAGGUCUUCGGAUCGUAAAACUCUGUUAUUAGGGAAGAACAAAUGUGUAAGUAACUAUGCACGUCUUGACGGUACCUAAUCAGAAAGCCACGGCUAACUACGUG